CGCGUAGGUGGCUUGGUAAGUAGGGGGUGAAAUCUCGUGGCUCAACCGCGAGACGGCCUCCUAGACUGUCAGGCUCGAGCAGAGUAGAGGCAGGUGGAAUUCCCGGUGUAGCGGUGGAAUGCGUAGAGAUCGGGAAGAACAUCGGUGGCGAAGGCGGCCUGCUGGGCUCUUGCUGACACUGAGGCGCGACAGCGUGGGGAGCAAACAGGAUUAGAUACCCUGGUAGUCCACGCCGUAAACGAUGGGUACUAGGCGCUGGGGGGAGCGACCCCUUCGGUGCCGUCGUUAACACAGUAAGUACCCCGCCUGGGGAGUACGGCCGCAAGGCUGAA
rnacentral:rRNA from 1 species